rnacentral:rRNA from 1 species
UGGUGAGGGUAAAAGCCCACCAAGGCGAAGACGGGUAGGGGACCUGAGAGGGUGAUCCCCCACAAUGGAACUGAAACACGGUCCAUACACCUGCGGGUGGCAGCAGUAGGGAAUAUUGCUUAAUGGGCGAAAGCCUGAAGCAGCAACGCCGCGUGAACGAAGAAGGCCUUCGGGUCGUAAAGUUCUUUUAGGUGGGAUUAGGAAGGACAGUACCACCAGAAUAAGUCUCGGCUAACUACGUGCCAGCAGCCGCGGUAAAACGUAGGAGACGAGCGUUAUCCGGAUUUACUGGGCGUAAAGAGCGUGUAGGAGGCAGUACAAGUUGGAUGUGAAAGCUCCCGGCUUAACUGGGAGAGGUCGUUCAAAACUGUACAGCUAGAGGAAGGCAGAGGUAGACGGAACUCCGGGAGUAGUGGUGAAAUGCGUAGAUAUCCGGAAGAACACCAGAGGCGAAGGCGGUCUACUGGGCCUUAACUGACACUGAGACGCGAAAGCCAGGGUAGCAAACGGGAUUAGAGACCCCGGUAGUCCUGGCCGUAAACGAUGCAGACUGGGCGUUUAUGGGGUAAAACCUGUGAGUGCCGAAGCAAACGC